rnacentral:rRNA from 1 species
AGCCUCUAGUUAUCAUAGUAAUAUUAGAGGUGGUGCCUGCCCAGUGAAUUUUAAUUUUUAACGGCUGCAGUAUCCUGACUGUACUAAGGUAGCAUAAUAGAUUGGCCCUUAAUUGGGGUCUGGAAUGAAUGGCGUUACGGGAUUUAGCUGUCUCCUCGGUGUGGAUUUAAACUUAACUUAAAGGUGAAGAGGCCUUUAUAGGUGGGAAGGACGAGAAGACCCCAUAGGAGCUUACAAUUAUAUUCUUAUUUGAAAAGUUUAUUAUUUUUUGGUUGGGGCGACCCGGGAGUAGUGAAAGCCUCCUAUUAAUUUUAAGACAAAAAUUUGAACCCCUAAGAGGGGUUAAAUGUUAAUUAAAGUUACCCUGGGGAUAACAGCACAAUACAAUUUGGAAGCUCUUAUUCUAAAUGGUGUUUGUGACCUCGAUGUUGGACUUAGGUUAUCUUUUGGUGCAGAAGCUAAAGAUGUGAUGUGUCUGUUCGACACUUAAACCCUUAC